GCGGCGAGUGGCGGACGGGUGAGUAAUAUAUCGGAACGUGCCCAGUAGCGGGGGAUAACUACUCGAAAGAGUGGCUAAUACCGCAUACGCCCUACGGGGGAAAGGGGGGAUCGCAAGACCUCUCACUAUUGGAGCGGCCGAUAUCGGAUUAGCUAGUUGGUGGGGUAAAGGCUCACCAAGGCAACGAUCCGUAGCUGGUUUGAGAGGACGACCAGCCACACUGGGACUGAGACACGGCCCAG
rnacentral:rRNA from 1 species